rnacentral:rRNA from 1 species
AUUGAACGCUGGCGGCAUGCCUUACACAUGCAAGUCGAACGGCAGCACGGACUUCGGUCUGGUGGCGAGUGGCGAACGGGUGAGUAAUGUAUCGGAACGUACCUUUCAGUGGGGGAUAACGUAGCGAAAGUUACGCUAAUACCGCAUAUUCUGUGAGCAGGAAAGCAGGGGAUCGAAAGACCUUGCGCGGAUUGAGCGGCCGAUAUCAGAUUAGCUAGUUGGUGGGGUAAAGGCCUACCAAGGCGACGAUCUGUAGCGGGUCUGAGAGGAUGAUCCGCCACACUGGAACUGAGACACGGUCCAGACUCCUACGGGAGGCAGCAGUGGGGAAUUUUGGACAAUGGGGGCAACCCUGAUCCAGCCAUGCCGCGUGAGUGAAGAAGGCCUUCGGGUUGUAAAGCUCUUUCGGCCGGGAAGAAAUCGCAUAGGCUAAUACCCUGUGUGGAUGACGGUACCGGAAUAAGAAGCACCGGCUAACUACGUG